AUAUAUAUAUAUAUAUACACACACACAAAAGAAUAAGUCAAUAGCACCUCCGGAAUAAUGGAGUGCUCUCAAGUCAGCUAAUAGCUCCUACGAGUCGGGAUCACCUCCCUGUCUACCUAUGGGCAUGAACAUAGCGACCAAAGAAAACGGGCGUCAGUACGAACAUUAUACUGAGUAUGUAAGGCAUGAAUGAAAUGAACAUAAUAGAGAAAUCAUAAGACAUAAGAUGAAGAUAUAACCUGCAUAACUUUUAAGGGUGGAUACAUUUCAUACAUAUAUCUUAUAUAAUCAUAGUACAUGUAUCAUCAUAGCGCAUACAUCAUCGUAUCAUAUAAAUCAUCAUCGUUAACCCGCGUCUGGGUAACCAUCAUAUGCCGCCCACAAGUGGUGUCAUGCCCGGCCCUCUAGGCUCGGUGUAAACAUAGCAGCCCGUCUUAGCGGUGACAUGCCCAGCCAUUUAGGCACAGUGAAAUCGUAUGCAGCCCGCCUUCGCGGUGACAUGCCCGGCCAACUAGGCACGGUGGAAUUGUAUCGUCAUAUAGUCAACAUAAACUUAUCAUUAUUAUACAUCUCAUAGGCAUAUCAUGACCUUAUCAUAACUUAGCAUCAUUAUACAUUUAUCAUCAAAACAUACAUUAGAGCUUGAAGGCAACUAUGGCUAUGUCGGGGUGACAUAAGGUCGUGAACCCCCGAUUACAUUAUGGAGUGAUCAUAAUCAUUAUAUCUCACCUUGAGGGGGAUAACAUUUUAAGGUGAGUGUACACAAGGAAAAACAUCAAUGGAACCGUACUUAGGAUCACUACCUUCGUAGGAAUGUCAUAUCAUGAGCUUAGAACUUCUAGACUUAGAUUCAUCAUCAGUAUUGUCAUAUUCGUAACGUAUCUCUUUUCUUUAUCAUGUGCGUAUGUAGCUCUUUAUAGUCAUGGACUCGUAAUUUCCGUUAUUUAGGAAGAUUAUGGAAAAAUUAGGAAGAUUUAUACCAUAGGAGUCAUGCCUUAGAAGGAAAGGAUUAGCCUUACAUACCUCUUUCGUUUAACAGUUCUAUCGCUUGAUUGUUCUCCUUCGAUGCUCGCGUUUCUACCUUCAAGAAAGUUCGUAUUAACAUUAGCUAAUCGAUUAUAAGAACGUGCUUAGGAAAAGCUAGGGAAAAUUGGGCAGCAUUUCCUUUGUUUAUACAACUUUCCUCAUAUCAUAUAUCGACUCCCAAGCAUCCAUAACAACAUUCACAAUAUUAUAGGCAACGAUCACCAUUCAUCUACAUUAUCCACAUUUCACAAUUUCACUUCAAUUCCUCCAUAACUAGGGUCAUAGUAUAAUAUUACACUUGUCUCUUCGUAAUGUUUCUCCCAUAUUCUUAAUGUCAUUUAUAACAUAUUCAUAAUCACAACAUGUCAAGAAUCAUGAUCCAUUCCAAGCUACCACUCAAAAUGUCAUUAUUCUUACGUUCAUAACCCAUUUUCUAUCUCCUUUUACAAUUCAAGUCUUUCAACCUCUCGAUACUCUAAACAACAUGGAAUGAUCAUAAAACUUACCUUUGAUGGUGUGAGAAUGAGCUUUAAGUGGAAAUACUUCACUUGAGAAAAACCCUAGUUCCACUUCCCAUGAGAUUUAUUGCCUUAGAUGAACCCUAGUGAGUUUCUUGCACUUGUUUCUCUUGAUUUGAUGAAGUUGAUCCUUAGUUUCACUUGGAUUCUUGUAGAUGAAGAGUGGAGAGAGUUCUAGAGGGUUCUUGAGGUGUGGAGAGAAAAUGAGAAGAUGGGAAAUGAAAAUAAUGAACUUGGGUCCCUUAUUUAAAAACUUAAAAUUCUAUCCCGACUAAAUUAUACGGACACUUAUACGGUCCGUAUAAGUGACCGUAAAAUUAUCCCAGCAACAACUCAUUUUGUGACCAUUAUACGGCACAUUAUACGGUCCGUAUAAGUGACCGUAAAAUUAUCCCAGCAACAACUCAUUUUGUGACCAUUAUACGGCACAUUAUAUGGUCCGUAUAAGUGACCGUAUAAUCCCAUCAGUGAGGGACCUUCAUUGUGACGAUUCUGCGGACCAUUAUACGGACCGUAUAAUAUUAUACGGACCGUAUGAUUGGUCGUAUAAUCUAUCUCUUCUCCGAUUUUGUUCUCGUCACUUCGUUUGAUCUCCAAUCAUUAUGGAACCUUCUUGAUACUUGUUUAACACCUCGUUAACAAUCUAAGAGACAUUAUAACUCUUCUCCAAAACAUCAUUAAGCCAUCAUUAAUUCGAUACUCAUAAAUCCUGCCGGACACACAACAUGUACCUUGUUUUCCUUAACAACUUUCGUCUCCCACCUCAAAUGUCUUUGAAAUCUCAUUUAGAAUCAACAAAUGUUAUUUCUUACUUAUUAAAACAUCGCAUACGUCGUGCCCUUCAUUAGCCUAUUCACUGUACGUUAACGAGAAAUUUCCGAGGUGUAACAGUAAGUCCACCCAAAAAGGUUUUUGAAAAAAAAACAUUAAGUAUAGAAAAUAGUUUUAUACAAAAGAUAGUUUUUAUAUACUAUAUAGUUCGCAUAUAAACUGUAUUAUAUUUAAUAGACCAAUUUUAUUCUAACUUUCAACCGAUUUUAAUCCGUUUUAUACAAGUUCUAAAUGUCACAAUAUAGUCCAAACAGUUUCGAAUUAAUCCAAUACAGUCCAAGUCCUCAAGUUUUAGAAAUGUCAAUUUCAGUCCCAAAAGUUUCUUAUUUUUUUAGCGGUUCCAGUAAAUGAUAGUCCUAAUCAGUCUAUUUAUUCAACUUAUACAUGUUUCAUGCCAAUUUUAUAUAGAAAUCAAUUUUAACGACUCUAAAUUAUGCGAUUACCAAUUAAGGGUUCCAAUAUAUAUACAAUCUAGUGCGCAAAUAAGGAAUUAAAAUUGCGUAAAUGAUAAAGAGUGAGAUUUUGGGUCGACCAAGCCCAAACGUAGAUAUUAUGCAACAGUUUGUCCUUAAUAAGCUCCAUUUUGCUCCAGAUUUGGUUAACUCGAUCUAGAUACAUUAGUGGACCUCGUGGAAGCCGACCAACGGGUUUUUGGGUGUACAAAUACAAAUGGAUAUACAACAUUAGUACAUGUUCAAAAUUAAACUAAAUAUGAGAAUGGAAUUAAACUAAUUACUAUUAUAAAGCCAAAAAAUUAAAUUACAACUCUCAUUUGGGCCAAGCCCAUAAUAAUUAACCGACAAAACUAACCCAACUAUGAAAAUGAGCCCCAAUUUAACCAAGGCUGCUAAUCAGGUAAAGUAGACAGGCCCAACUCCAAUUUUUACCCCAAAAUUCUCUAAGUGUCAAGGCUAUAAUAUACCGAGCAUACAACUGCUAUGCCCACCUGUUUUCUCUCUAAAUCUCUGAGUGUUGAAUGUAAUACCAAAUAUACCAACAAUGUGCUUCCUAGCCUCCUCUUCCAAUUUUUCUAAAUGUUAUACUUGUGAUACACACAAUAUACAACUAUUAUACUCACUUAUAUUUCUGAAAUUUUUCUAAGUGUUAAGCUGGCAGUAUACAUGAUAUACAACUUAUAUGCCUCUCAAUUUUCUCAAAAUUUUCUAAGUGUUGAAACUCUUAUAUACCAAGACACACAUAGUGAUAUACCACAUAAUGGGGAGAGCAAAACCACCCUAAAAGGGCAUACCCUCCAUAUACUCUAAUUUAAGCUCUUAACACUCAAGUAAUCACACAGAACAACAUAAGGAAAUUCUCAGCAAAAUACACAAAUAUUAUCAUAAGUCCAACUGGACGCAGAAACUAACAGCAGACAAUUCUUCAAUGAGCAGGCAUGAGGAUCAUGAUAAACAUAACAAAUAUCAGCCUUAACUGGUCAUUUAAAAGGCUAGGGUUAUGUAGAAGGUUCAACUAGGUGCAAGGAGAGGAGCUCAAGUAAGCAAAGCAGGGACAAGAUUUCAGCUUUUAGAGUACCAAACUUAGAAUGAAUGUCACAUAGUUGACUCAUAGAGCCUGUAGAGGAUUAAAAUGGCCUAGAUACAUAGUUUCAAACUAACUCUUAUGUCACAGAAUCCAAACUAUAGUCCUGAUGUAAGGUUCAAACAAAUUCAAGACUCAAAUGAAGCCAAUAAGUAGAAGGCAAGCCAUGAAGCAAUUCAGAGGUUCAUUCAAGUAGAAACCAAGUGUUAAAAAAAGCAGAAGGUCUUCUUAGGUCCAUUUCAAUCUUAUGAAUAGUCAAAACUGGUUUCAAGUAAGUUAUUUCCAAGUUAUCUCUUCUUUAGUAAGUUGCAGAGUCAAAGCAGUGUAAUUCCAACUGAAUGAAGCCAUUUUUUCACUUAACAAGUUGAGUAAGUUCAAUCAAAGUUUUAAUGAUCAUUUUAGGCAGUUUUAAAGCCAUCGGGAUCCAAGUCAAUAUAGAACAGGCACAACAAGUUAGGUAUAGAGUCAAAUAAUCAUAAUACAUUCUCAGAAUUGGCACAUAGUGACAUAUAAGUUGUUUAGUCAUUAUAAGGUUCACAAGUAAACCUAUGAGGGUUGCCUUACGUUCUAGAAAUGUGAGUCAACUAUUCAGAACAAGUGCAGAUAAACAGAGGUUCCUACAUGACAAGUUCUGAGGAGUUUAAGUUUAAACAAAAAUCCAAGGCACUAUCUAAAGUAUAGGGAUGACCAAUGCACAUAGUUUGGCUCAAAUAGGUGAAACUAGGUCAAAAGGGGAUAUUCCUAGGUAUGGUAUGCAUAAACCAGGAUCAUGUGAACAUAGUUUUAAACCCAUUUUCAGCACAUUUGUACCAAUGGUACCUUUUCCAACCAAAUUUUCACAUAAAUCACAAUAAUACAGGUAAGAAUCUAACCAAUUGUACCCGAAAGAACAAAUAAAAAUCAGAAAAUAUUAUGAUAGCAUGCCUUGUCAUCAAUAAAUCAAAAUUACCACCCUAUAACGGUACCAUAGUACAAAAAGAUAAAAUUCCCCAAAAUCGUACCCAACCACGAACCCACGUAGGAAAUUCCCCCUUAGGUCCCUUUCUCAAGUGUUAUGGGGCACAAGAUGGCAAAGAGCUCGUGGCUCUGCCCAUGGCAACCAUAGCACGAAGGAAUCCUAGAGUAACUUCCUAAAUUAGGAUUCGAUUAGGAAUAAAAACACAGAUUCGAGGAAAAUGAACCUGGGAAUCACGAAAACUCGUGAUAAAGAACAAAAACCCUUAAAAGUCCGGCCAAAAAUACGCAUAAAUCCUAUGGAUAGACUGCCAAUAGCGGAACCCUAAUAUCGCCUUCAAAUCGCCUAAGAAGAGGAAAGGGUGGUCGGGUGAAGGAAAAAUAAAGAGUGGGGCUGGAAGUUUAUUUUUUAUUAACUCCCCCCCCCCCCCCCCCCCAAGUUUUUAAGAGUUUAAAUUAGUCCCCCUCCCAAUUUAGAUCAAAUAAAUGACUAAGUAAUAUAAAUACAUAUACAACUAAAUAAAAUAGUUAUUUAGGCUAAUUAAAAUUUAAAACUCGCAAAUUUAAAAUAUUAGCUUCGAAACGAGCCUAAUAUUGAUAUAGUUCUGGAGGAUAUUCAAGAAUAUGAAAAAUGCGGUCAAGAGUAAACCGUAAUUCAUAUGUCGUUUUAAUUAACAAUUUUCCCGAGCUAGACGGAACGGGAUGUGUAUCUUCUCUUCAAAUCACGUUUGUGAAAGUAAAUAACUUGUAAUUUCUUGUAAUUGUUAAUUUUUAUGAAAAUAAUAAUUAAGCGUCAAUUUGUGCAAUUUUCUCGGGAUUUUUAAUUUUUUAAGGGCAUCCUCAUCCCAUCUUGGACUCAGGAAAUAUGGAAAUUAAAAAUAUACGUUUUCUGAGGUGUAAAUUAGGUGUCAACAAUUGCCCUUUCGAAGUUCAAGGAUGGCAUCCUUGAGCUACGAAUUUGACAAACCUAAUUUUUCACUGAAUAAUAGAAAGCACUGUCCUUUUUGCGCAAUAUUUCAGAAGUAUGGCCGGACCCUGGUUUCUGGGCUUCCUACAUAUCUCAGGCUAAAUAAGAAUUCAGGCCAUUUGUAGUUCUGACUUUAUGAGGACUAUAAAUUAAAAAGUUUUCUUUAAGCUAUCUCGGGAUAUCCCAAGAUAAUUAUAGGAAUAUGGUCGAGCCUCGAAACUUGAGUAGCCUACAUAUCCCUAGCUUUGGGAAUCAGGCCAAUUGUAGUUCGACUUGAUAACCCGAAAAGGAACAUCCCUUUAUGUGGGAACCCCUUUGUCUAUUUCCGGUUGAAAAUCCGAACCGGAGGCGAUUUUUGAAAGGACUUAUUAGUGUUGAUGCUUGAAAUGAUCUCCAAUCCCUGGUGUAGAAAUCUUGACUUUCGUACACGAUUUUUGACUGGAUGCCCAAGAAAGUUCCACGUAUGCUCCGCAUGUUUUGAAUCCGGGUUUUGCUCCCACCUUUGGUAGUUUCUAGCUCAUUUCCAAAUGCUGAGUCCUGCGUGUUAGUCUUUUGAAAAUUUUAAUUUUAAUGUAGUCAUACCUGUGUGGCAUUUUGCCAUUUUGUUGACAUUGUAAUCAUCCUCCGAUGUCCGUCUUUUGGCAAAGGCUUGUCCAUUUUCUUUCUUCUCUCGUGUCAGUGUGUGUUUUUGUGUAUAUUUUUUUAAAAAUAAUAAUCUACUCUGGAUAAUAAUCACGAUACUUCGAUCGGUUUUUUACGUCAUCAUCAGACGUUUUCAUCGUCCAAUGAUAACUUCUGUUGGGAUGUGGGUCGGGCUAUAUCGCAUUUCUGUGAACCUACACGCCCCAGUCUGGCUGUCGUUUUCGUAACUCGAUAUGUCAAUCAUGAAACCCAUGUUUUCUCGUGUGGGGCUAUUUUUGUUUCUUACGAGGUCCACUACCCUCGAAAAUUUGGCAUCACAUCAUGAUUUCAUAUCGCGAUGACUGUCCAAAUCUGGUGUUGCACAUCUCAUUAUCCGCAUACGGUGACCGCGGUACACCAGUUAGUCUAACAUCACCUAUAGUAAAAAAUACCCAAAUGUAGACUGCACAUUAGAGUGUAGUAUCAUAUUCCUCUCAUGUUGACCGCUAACCCUUGUAUCCAAAAUUACAACAUUUAGUCAGAAUUUUCAAGUUAACUAUGGCAUAUUCAGGGGCGGAGCCUUUUCUCAUGACUACCACUAUCCCUGACCCAUGAUUACGUUAACUUGAAAUAGACUGCAAUAGCGACCACAAAUUUUGACGUAGGAAUCACAUUCGUAUUUCAACGAUUGCGGACAUCAACUCGGAAUUACGCUACCUAUUUUUGGCUAUAUAUAUGGAUGGCGACUUAGCCCCUUCGGCACGUAGUGUCUUGAUCCAUAUCGUCAUUUUGAGGAUUGAAGCUUAUCUCGGUGGCAAUACUUACACCUUCAUUUUUUGACUCCGGGGAAGAAUACCCGUCCGUCGAAAGGAUUCACAUCUUCCAAAAGGACUAGACUCGAUUGUGAGUAACGGCAUUCAAUCCCGCUAUCAACGCGUCAUUUUAAAUUUUUGUAUUUUUGGACGUCCACUCAGCCAAUGUAUCAAGGCAAGACAUGUGACGUCUAGGUCGAGGUCUCAAUACCUUGAUACAAAAGUUGUUUUUAGUGGAAACCCAGCUUUUGAAUACAUGAGUGCUAAACUGUUAUGAGAUACGAAUACGUGUAAACAUGGAUAUCAUAACAUGGGAUUUGAAUGAGAAAAACAUGAUUGUUACAACAUGAGGGUUGAAUACUGAGCACGGGUAGGAUUUGAACACUUAGAGACAUGAGCAUAGAUGUUCGUAUGUCCCCACGGUAGACAUAUCAGAUAAAAGUACGAAUUAAGCUUUGAAUGAAAUCGCAAUUUAGUGCAAAUGAGUCUAUUAUGAGUCAUAGAAUAUAAAUAGGAUCCUAACAUCUAGUGUGAAACUCGAGCAUGGCAUAUCAUGAAUACAUCAAACCUGAGACUCUGAUCCCGAGCUUUGUCCUUCACACACAUAUAAAAGUGACCCUAUUGUACACGGUUUCAUAGACUCCCUAAGACACUUCAACCUGGGGCUCUGAAACCAAGCUUUGUUACGCCCCGAACCAUGGCCUAGCUGAAACACGACACUCGAUGCCUUACUGCAUCUGACUGAGCGAACCACAUGACUUGCUGAAUCAUCAUGAAGCAUAACAUAAGUGGAAUAUAGCAUGAAAUGUGAUGAGAUUUUAUAAAACAUGAGAUGUGAUAAUAAUUUAAUGAAAUACUUGUUUAAAUCAUGAAUGCGGAAAUAUCAUAAAUCGAGCCAAAGAUGGCUACACGACUCUGAGUAUCUGACAUAACAGACUGACUAGUCUAUGAAACCUCUAAUCAUGAGUCUUGAAUGGAAAACGUACUUGCUGGGACAAGCCCCCAGCAUACCUUUAAAUUCAUAACUAAUGAAAUAAAGAUAACUGACUAAAACCCCGAAUGAGAUGGGGCUCACCAAUAAGCUGAUACGUGUAGAGUCCUACUAAGCAGAUGUGUCGUCCUGUAAAUCUGUACCUACAUCGUGAAACAUCGUGAAAUACAGGCCCCCGAGCCAUAAAAGGGGACGUCAGCACAUUAAAUAUACUGGUAUGAAAAGCAACUGACCGAAACAACGUGGGACAUGGAAAUAACAUAAUAGAGACUGAACUGAAACAUGAUCAUGAACAUGAGUACAUGUACAUAUAUAACAUGUGUAAAGUAUCGUGAGUAGGGAGAACAGUAAAUAUAGCCGACAACAUGGUCUGGUACUUGCGUCUUACCAGCAGAAUACUCAUACCUUGCCAGGGACAUGAGAUUUAAUAAUAUUAUGAAAGGAUUCAGUCAUUAUGACAGAUCGUCCUAAGCAUGAGUGGAGCGAUCCUCAUCCUACGGUGACUACGUAGUUUCGGGCUGUUUGAAGCCUUCUCGGCAAUUAAUGCAACUCCCAAAAAAAUGAACAUGGAAAAUAAGUGGCAUUUGCUGCCUAUGGCUUUUCAUGAAUGAAAACUUGCAUGUACAUAGAUAUUAUUAGUAUUAUUCUUGCAUGAACUUAUAAAACAUAUAUAUAGAUUUUCUUGAAAAUAUCAUAACAGUUCAUAAGCUUACAUGUAAGAACCCAUGGAAUGCAAGGUAUGGGUUUUCAUGGAUUACGGACAGAUUCUGAAUAAUAAUAAUGAUGUAUCAAGAACACAAUGAAGAAUUUAUAACAAUUUAAUACAUAAUAUAACAUAGGGCAUGGACCUAGGGUUACCAUGAACAUGGUUAAAAAUCCUAGUUUUUGUAAAGCUUCAUACUUUAUGGAAGAAGAAGCGUGGGGAAGAAAAAUGAUAUUCCCACACGUAGAUAGCAACCCUACAUACCUGUAAACGCUCCAAUCUAAUGAACUAAACUGCUUCUCUGACGAAGAACACCAAAACUCUAGCUUUGAAUCGCUUAAGAUGGAUUUACCUUGGAAAUCCUAUAUUUUGGUUGAAGAAUCAUGUUACAAUUCAUGAAUUAAUGUUAUAAUUACUUAGGAAUUGCUAAAGCGAUCUUACCUUGACGUGGGAGGAUGGGGAGAGGAGGAAAAUGGCUGCUUAGGGCUUUAAAACAAAGUUGGAAUGUUUGAUAAAUGAAACUUCGAGUUAAAGUGUUGAAUUUAUAGCAUGGGGCAUUUUGGACACCUAGGCUCGCCGAGCGCGGUCUAUUGCUUGCCCCUGCCUCGCUUUGGGUUGAGAUCGGCGAGCUCCCUUGUCCAUUUUACACUUAGACGAUUUUCUUGAAUUUUUCCACUUUUGGACCCCUACCUCGCUAAGCGCGGCCCAAGGCGAGCCCUUGCCUCGCUUUGGGGCGAGCUCGGCGAGCUCUCUAGUCACUUUUACACUCAGUCGACAGUGUUUAGAAAACUGGGCAUAACUCCUAGUACCAAGCUCCGUUCGGGCUCCACAGUAUACCAUUGGAAAUCUAUUUCAAAGGGAUAUAACUUUCAUGUUUUAAGUUUUCUCAAAUUAUUAACGAAUCUUCCUGUAAUUGGGCUGGAAGGCAGAUAUAUCAAAAAGUUAGUCGAUUCUACCGAAUCUUAAGCACCUCUCUAUUAGCCAUUUUGAGACGAUCAUAUCUCCUUGAUCUGAACUCCAAUUGGCCUGGUCCUUAUAUGCCUGAAAAGAUAUUUCUAUGUACUACAACUUUCAUUAAGAAACCUUUUACAAAUUCUCAACGAAUCAAGGGGUUAUGGGUGCCCGAAGUAGGCUUGUCAACCACUUUCGUAAUACGUAUAAACUUUCUGUUUUUCCGCUAAAACUCUAACGAUACAAGUCUAACCUUUGUUGAAAGAUAUGGGAUGUUACAGAUGGCCUCACUUUAGGACAAUAUGGAUAGUGCUCGUAUUCAGGCAUAUGCUCAGAAUAUGAAGGAUCAUGAACGUCAACAGCGGGCCAAGCAGGAUCCGGACAGAGGUCGUUGUAAGUGGGCAAGGUCUGCAGGUUAUUAUGGUGAUUAUCAAGGAGGUUAUAAGCCUCAUUAUCCCAGACGAUCAACCCCUUCAGCAGUUAGUGAACCUUCUCAAUUUCAGGGGCAUCGUUAUGACUGAUCCAUUUAUUCUGAACCGGCUCAAAGUUCGAGGGCGCCAGAUCUUUUUUAUAGGGGAGAGUCUAGUCAGGCAAAGCCCCCAUUGCCCCAUUAUGACCCGUGUGGUAAAGUCCACUCUGGUCAGUAUCUCCAGGGUAUGGGGGUGUACUACACUUGUGGGCAGCCUGGUCAUGUCAUACGAAACUGUCCGUCUCACGGUAGAGGUGGCCCGACUCAGCUGACAGGUUUGGUUGCAGGCUCUUCAUCUUCUGUUCGCCCACCUGGGCAAGGUUUCUCUUUAAAUCCAGCAAUCAGAGGUAGGGCAGAGAUCAGACCUCUGGUUCAGGCAGCAGUCAGAAUCGUAUUUAUGCACUCACAGGGCAGCAGGAUCUUAAGUCGUCCCCAGAUGUUGUGAUCGGCAUCUUAUCCAUCUGUUCUUAUGAUGUUUAUGCAUUAAUUGAUCCUGGCUCUACGCUAUUUUAUAUCACUACAUAUGUUGCUAAUAAGUUUGGUAUUAAGCCAGAAUCUUUAUCUAAGCAUUUCUCAAUUUCUACCCUAGUCGGGGAGCCUGUUAUUGCAAGACGAAUUUAUCGUAAGUGUGUGGUUACGACAUGUGACUGCGAAACUCUUGCUGAUUUAGUAAAAUUAGAAAUGGUGGACUUCGAUACUAUUAUGAGUAUGUAUUGGUUAGCUUCUUGUUAUGCCAAUGUUGAAUGUUGGUCUAAAACAGUGAAAUUUUAGUUUUCGGGCAAACCAGUUCUUAAAUGGAGGGGUAAUACCCCAGCACCAAAAGGUAGGAUUAUUUCCUACCUUAAGGCGUGGAAGAUGAUUUCCAAAGGCUAUAUUUAUCAUUUGGUUCGAGUUAGGAGUAUGAAGCGUAACCACCAACUCUACAGUCUGUUCUAAUAGUUAAUGAAUUUCAGGAUAUAUUCCCUGAUGAAUUCCGCCGGAGAGAGAAUUUGAAUUUGCGAUUGAUGUGUAGCCGGGAACUCAUCCCAUCUCUAAUCCUCCCUAUCGUAUGUCCCCUUCCAAAUUACGAAAAUUGAAGGUGAAAUUACAAGACUUGCUAGACAAGGGCUUCAUUAGGCCCAGCACUUCUCCGUCAGGAGCGCCAGUAAUAUUUAUGCGCAAGAAGGAUGGCUCACUAAGAAUGUGUAUUGACUACCGGUAACUAAAUAAGGUGACUAUCAAGAAUAAAUAUCCAUUGCCCAGAUUUGAUGAUUCAUUUGAUCAGCUGCAAUGUGCCAAAUGUUUCUCGAAGAUUGACUUGAGGUCAGAGUAUCAUCAGCUACAUGUAAAAGGGGAAGAAAUUCCAAAGACAGUUGUUCGAAUUAGAUAUGGACAUUUUGAAUUCUUAGUUAUGUACUACGGAUUGACAAAUGCUCCAACGGCAUUCAUGGCACUAAUGAAUACUGUAUUUAGGCCCUUCUUGGAUGUCUUUGUUGUUGUAUUCAUUGACGAUAUCCUGGUAUAUUCUCAGUCUGAAGCAGAACAUGCUGAUCACCUUCGGAAGGUGUUACAAACAUUACGAGAUCGAAGGUUGUACGCAAAGUUCUCCAAAUGUGACUUUUGGCUAACUUCAGUAGCUUUUCUAGGCCUUGUUGUGUCUAACGAGGGUAUUAAAGUUGAUAAUCGGAAGAUCGAAGCCGUUAAGAAUUUCCUAGCCAACAACAACCUUAGAAGUUCGAAGUUUCUUGGGCCUUGCGGGAUGUUAUCGGAGAUUUGUAGAAGGAUUCUCUUCUAUAGCAGCUCCUUUGAAAAAAUUAACUCAGAAAACAACCAAGUUUCAAUGGUCAGAAGAUUAUGAGCCGAGUUUCCUGAAAUUGAAAGACAAGUUGACAUCCGCUCAUGUUCUCACCUUUCUAGAAGGCACUGAGAGUUACACUGUAUAUUGUGACGCUUCAAGCACAGGUCUGGGAUGUGUAUUAAUGCAAAAUGUUAAGGUGAUCGCUUAUGGCUCCAGACAGUUGCGGAAACAUGAGCAAACCUAUCCAACUCAUGAUCUUGAGUUGGCGGCAGUAAUAUACGCUCUGAAGAUAUGGCGGCAUUACUUAUAUGGAGCUCAUGUUGAUAUUUAUACAGGUAUUUCGAAGUCGGAAUGGUCGGCAAGAGAAAAUAAGGAAAUGAAGUGUUCUGUAUUGAUAUGCACUAAGUACGGACCGUCGACAUGUCUUUGGUUCAUCGUUUUGGAUCAUAGAAUUGCAAGGAGAGUUCCUGCAGCUAAGUAAGCUCGACGACAUGCAGAGCUGGAUGAUUGACGGACCGUCAACAUGUUCGACGAUCCGUCGAGUUACCUCGUCGACAUACAUCCUACAAAGUGUAAAGUGCCUUCAGACCGUUGAGUUGCACCUUCGACAUGAUCAACGGUCGUCGAAGUGCAAAGAUGGUUGAACUCCUGCGGAAUGAAAGUCUGUCAUCAGAUCGUCGUCAAGCCCGUCGACAUGUUGACGACCGUCGAAGCACAAUGACGACCCAUCAAGUUGCAAGCCGACGUGGAACAGGAUUGGGAUUAACUAUUCCGAGUUUAACUUAUAUAAAUACCUGUUUAGGUUUUAUUUUUCAGACAUCUGGAGUUUUAGACUGGUAAUAAUUACUUUUGGGUUGUUAUUACUUUUGAAGAUUUUCCAGACAAUUACAUUCGUUUAUUUUCAAGUUUUAUUUGUAAGUUCAAUACAAAAUUCAAUUAUGCAA